AGUAACGCGUGAGGAACCUGCCUCAAAGAAGGGGGACAACAGUUGGAAACGACUGCUAAUACCGCAUAAGCCCACGGCUCGGCAUCGAGCAGAGGGAAAAGGAGCAAUCCGCUUUGAGAUGGCCUCGCGUCCGAUUAGCUAGUUGGUGAGGUAAUGGCCCACCAAGGCGACGAUCGGUAGCCGGACUGAGAGGUUGAACGGCCACAUUGGGACUGAGACACGGCCCAG
rnacentral:rRNA from 1 species